rnacentral:rRNA from 1 species
UGGGGAAUUUUGCGCAAUGGGGGAAACCCUGACGCAGCAACGCCGCGUGGAGGAUGAAGUACUUCGGUACGUAAACUCCUUUCGAUCGGGACGAUUAUGACGGUACCGAGAGAAGAAGCCCCGGCUAACUUCGUGCCAGCAGCCGCGGUAAUACGAGGGGGGCGAGCGUUGUUCGGAAUUAUUGGGCGUAAAGGGUGCGUAGGCGGUUUGGUAAGUCUGAUGUGAAAUCUAUGGGCUCAACUCAUAGUCUGCAUCGGAAACUGCCGGGCUUGAGUAUGGGAGAGGUGAGUGGAAUUCCUGGUGUAGCGGUGAAAUGCGUAGAUAUCAGGAGGAACACCUGUGGCGAAAGCGGCUCACUGGACCAUAGCUGACGCUGAUGCACGAAAGCUAGGGGAGCAAACAGGAUUAGAUACCCUGGUAGUCCUAGCCCUAAACGAUGACUGCUUGGUGUGACGGGUACCCAAUCCCGCCGUGCCGUAGCUAACGCGUUAAGCAGUCCGCCUGGGGAGUACGGUUGCAAGGCUGAAACUCAAAUGAAUUGACGGGGUCAUAGCUG